AUCUCCAGUGACAUCAGCAGCAGUACCACCACCAAAAGCGGCAGCAGGGCAACCAACAAAAGGAGCAGCAGCAGCAGCAGGGCAACCAACAAAAGGAGGAGCAGCAUCAUCUCCAUCAACAAAAGGAGAGUGACAUCAGCAGCAGUACCACCACCAAAAGCGGCAGCAGGGCAACCAACAAAAGGAGCAGCAGCAGCAGCAGGGCAACCAACAAAAGGAGGAGCAGCAUCAUCUCCAUCAACAAAAGGAGCAGCAGCAGCAGCAGUGCAACCAGCAAAAGGAGGAGCAGCAGCAGCAUCUCCAUCAAUAAAAGGAGCAGCAGCAGCAGCAGCAGCAGCAGUGCAACCAGCAAAAGGAGGAGCAGCAGCAGCAUCUCCAUCAAUAAAAGGAGCAGCAGCAGCAGCAGUGCAACCAGCAAAAGGAGGAGCAGCAUCACCUCCAUCAACAAAAGGAGCAGCAGCAGCAGCAGUGCAACCAACAAAAGGAGGAGCACAGCCAACUAAAGGAACAGUAGUGCAACCAACAAAGGGAGGAGGCGCAGCAGCAGUGCAACCAUCAAAGGGAGCAGCAGCAGUGCAACCAACAAAGGGAGGAGCUACAGCAGGGCAACCAGCAAAAGGUGCAGCACAGCCAGCUAAAGGAACAGCAGUGCAACCAACAAAGGGAGGAGCAGCAGCAGCAGCAACACAGCCGACCAAAGCAGUGCCGCCACAAACAAAAGGAGCAGCAGCACCACCAGGAAAAACUGCAGCGGUGGCAGGGGCGCCAUCGUCCCCAGUAGAGCAAGGGGCAGCAGCACCUUUAGGGAAGCGGGCAGCACGGGCAGCGAGAGCAGCAGAAGCCCAGGCAACAUUGGUGCAGGCAGUACUGGUGCCACCAACGUCACCAGAAGGGGAAGAGGCACCAGCACCGCUGGGGAAGCGGGCAGCCCGGGCAGCUCGGGCAGCGGCGGCAGCCCAGGCGGCGGCAGCAGAGGCAGCAGUGCGAGCAGUACCAGUAGUGCCAGCGUCACCAGUGGGGCAAGGGGCACCAGCACCACUGGGGAAGCGGGCAGCACGGGCAGCUCGGGCAGCGGCAGCAGCAGCAGCAGCGGAGGCAGCAGUGCAGGCUGCACCAGCAUCACCAGUGGGGCAAGGGGCACCAGCACCAGCACCACUGGGGAAGCGGGCAGCACGGGCAGCUCGGGCAGCAGCAGCCCAGGCGGCAGCAGCAGCAGCAGCAGCAGCAGCAACAGAGGUAGCAGUGCAGGCCGUACCAGCAUCACCAGUAGGGCAAGGGGCGGUGGGCCCAGUGGCAUCUGGAGGACGGGCUACAUCAAAAGCAGCUCGAGCAACAGCAACAGCCCAGGCAGUACCGGUGGCACCAACAUCACCAGUGGGGCAGGGGGCGUCGGCAGCCCCAGGGGGUCGGGCAGCAGCAAAGGCAGCUCGAGCAGCAGCAGCAGCAGCAGUGCAGGCAGUGUCAGUAGCAGCAGUGCAAGUAGCACCAGUGGCAGCUGUGGUCGCAAGUGCCCCUGCACACCUGCAAGGGCAGCCUGCUUCAUCCCCUAAGGAAAAGAGGAAGAAGGAAAAGAAGGUGGCAAAGGUAGAACCAGCA
rnacentral:lncRNA from 1 species